UGGUUCUUCACUGAAGGCAAGACAGACCCAUAAGCAACCAAUUCUAAUGCUAAGGUCCAAGCGCAGAAGUGGAAGUGUGUGUGAGGUUCCGUGUGAGCACAGAAGUGAGAGGGCUAAUUCUGCUUGUGAGACUUACAGGGGAUUCACAACCUCUGGAGGAGGCUUUGCCAGGCAGAGAAGAGAAAAGAAGAUAUUUGAAGUCAAACAAGCAGUUUAUUCACUGGCUUGGAGGGGGAAAUUUGGACAUAGACAUGCACACAGAGAGAACGCCGUAUGAAGAUGAAGGCAGAGAUCGAGGUGGUGCUUCUACCAGCCAAGGACCACAAAGAUAGCCAGCAGAUGAGCAGCUCGGAGAGAAACAUGGAACAGAUUCUCCCUCCCAGCCCUCAGAAGGAACCAACCCUGUGGACACCGUGACUUUGGACUUCUAGCCUCCAAAACUGUAAAUCGAAGACUGGUGCGGAGGGAGAAGACCUUGAGAUUUCCAUCAGAUCAUUUGCAGAUUCUAGACAACAGUCCACCCCCAGCGCCUUGCACUCCGGCUCUUUGAAGAACUGGAGAGAACACGCUUCCCUGGCAGGCCACUCUCCCCUGUAAGCAGCCUUGAUAGUUAAUCAUUAGGUUUCUCUGCGAUGGAGGAAGCUUUGUGUUCUUUCGG
rnacentral:lncRNA from 1 species